CUGCUAAAUUGGGGCUGAACGUUAAAUUGUUUUAAAUAUGCAGUGCCUCAGGUGUUGCAAAACCAGCUUUGCAGGAAUUGGCUUCUUGGUACCUGCUGACAUGUGCUCCCCAGCUGCAAAUGGCCAACCCUGCCCUGGCACCUCAGCUGCCAUCCUGCUCAGUACCAGGGAGUGCCUGAAGAAGGUAUUGAGGAAGAUCGGGCAGCUCCCUUCUCUACUCCUUGUUUAACAAGGACUCUGAAGAAAGUCACCAUAUCAACAAGAAGAGUGUUGAGACAUCUUGGGGACGACAUCAGAUAAAACAAA